rnacentral:rRNA from 1 species
UGCCAGACUCCUACGGGAGGCAGCAGUGGGGGAUAUUGCACAAUGGGGGGAACCCUGAUGCAGCGACGCCGCGUGAACGAAGAAAUAUUUCGGUAUGUAAAGUUCUAUCAGCAGGGAAGAAAAUGACAGUACCUGACCAAGAAGCCCCGGCUAACUACGUGCCAGCAGCCGCGGUAAUACGUAGGGGGCGAGCGUUAUCCGGAUUUACUGGGUGUAAAGGGAGCGUAGACGGCAGUGCAAGUCCGGAGUGAAAGCCCGGGGCUCAACCCUGGGACUGCUCUGGAAACUGUAAAGCUGGAGUGCGGGAGGGGCAGGCGGAAUUCCUGGUGUAGCGGUGAAAUGCGUAGAUAUCAGGAGGAACACCGGCGGCGAAGGCGGCCUACUGGACGGUGACUGACGCUGAGGCUCGAAAGCGUGGGGAGCAAACAGGAUUAGAUACCCGUGUAUC